AUUGAACGCUGGCGGCAGGCCUAACACAUGCAAGUCGAACGGUAACAGGAAGACGCUUGCUUCUUUGCUGACGAGUGGCGGACGGGUGAGUAAUGUCUGUGAAACUGCCUGAUGGAGGGGGAUAACUACUGGAAACGGUAGCUACUACCGCAUAACGUCGCAAGACCAAAGAGGGGGACCUUCGGGCCUCUUGCCAUCGGAUGUGCCCAGAUGGGAUUAGCUAGUAGGUGGGGUAACGGCUCACCUCGGCGACGAUCCCUAGCUGGUGUGAGAGGAUGACCAGCCACACUGGAACUGAGACACGGUCCAGACUCCUACGGGAGGCAGCAGUGGGGAAUAUUGCACAAUGGGCGCAAGCCUGAUGCAGCCAUGCCGCGUGUAUGAAGAAGGCCUUCGGGUUGUAAAGUACUUUCAGCGGGGAGGAAGGGAGUAAAGUUAAUACCUUGACUCAUUGACGUUACCCGCAGAAGAAGCACCGGCUAACUCCGUG
rnacentral:rRNA from 1 species